rnacentral:rRNA from 1 species
AUGGAGAAGAUCUCCGUCGCCGUCCGCUUCCGCCCGCCCAAGCCUUCGGUCGACGCCGACGCCGACUCGUCCUCCUUCUCGGGCGGCGGUGCUGUCGGGAACCGCGAGUGGCGCAUCGACGACUCCGGAAUCUCCCUCCUCCACCGCGCCGUCCCCGUCCCCGGCACCUCCUUCGUCUUCGACCACGUGUUCAACGAGUCUGUGACCAACGCGCGGAUCUACGGCCUGCUCGUCCGCUCCCUCAUCCGUGCUGCCGUAGAUGGCUUCAACGGCACUGCCUUCGCCUACGGCCAGACCAGCAGUGGCAAGACGUUUACCAUGAACGGCUCCGGUGCCGACCCUGGGAUCAUCCCGCUCGCUGUUCGCGACAUCUUUGACACGGCGGCCGAGGCCGCAGACAGGGUGUUCCUGAUCAGGGUCUCGUACAUGGAGAUUUAUAAUGAGGAGAUCAAUGACCUCCUGACACUUGGGAGCGAGAAGCUGCCAAUUCAUGAGAGCCUCGAGCGUGGUGUAUAUGUGUCCGGUCUGCGGGAAGAAAUUGUUAACAAUGCUGAACAAGUGCUACAACUCCUUGAGCUUGGAGAAGCAAAUAGACAUUUCGGAGAAACAAACAUGAAUGUCCGGAGCAGCAGGUCCCAUACUAUUUUUCGGAUGGUAAUUGAAAGCAGUGCUAAGCACCAGACGAACUCUGGAGAUGCAAUCCGUGUUUCUAUUUUGAACUUGGUCGAUUUAGCUGGGUCAGAAAGAAUCCCCAAGACAGGAGCUGAUGGUGUGCGGCUUAAGGAAGGGAAGCAUAUUAAUAAGAGCUUGAUGAUUCUCGGUAAUGUCAUCAAUAAGUUGAGUGAGAAUGGAAAGCAAAGAGGGCACAUCCCUUAUCGUGAUAGUAAGUUGACUCGCAUCCUCCAGUCUGCACUUGGAGGCAAUGCAAAGACAUCAAUCAUUUGCACGGCUGCACCUGAAGAGAUUCAUAUUGAGGAAACUAGAGGAACUCUUCAAUUUGCAAGUAGAGCAAAAUGUGUCAGCAAUUGUGCUCAAGUAAAUGAGAUUCUAACAGAUGCUGCUCUGCUGAAGAGGCAAAAACUGGAAAUAGAGGAACUUCGCAAAAAGCUGCAGGGUUCCCAUUCUGAAGACUUGGAGCAGCUUAUCCUAAAGCAACGCAAUGACAUGCAUAAGUCUGAACUCGAGCGUGAUCGUCUAGCAAUGGAACUUGAAGAGGAAAGGAGGUUAAGGGAGACAUUAGAGCACCGGUUGGCCAAGCAAAAGAUGUCACAGAACCACAACAAUACUGACAUAUCAGUAGAGCAAUUUGCUGAUUCUAGCCAGCUAGACAUAUUAAAAACUCCAGAUUCUAAGCGGACACCAGAUGGAUUCGUUGCUAGCCGCUCACACUAUUUGAAGGAUGCAGAGUUCUGCCCAAUACCUGAAAAUUUAGGUUCUGUGGCUGAUGAGGAUCUCUGGAUGCAAUUGAAUAAAGGAUGCAUCACUGAUCUUGAUAUGCUUGAAAUGACAUCUGAUUUUAAAUGUCCACCGUCCCCAGAAGAUACGACAGCGGUUGUGCCAUUAGAGGAGCCCAUUGACGUGAGAUGCCUUAGGCUAGAAACUGCAUGCAGCUCCGAUAGGCAACAGCUCGAGGAUUCAAAAGCAAGAUGCACAACUCUCGAGAAGGAGCUUGAGCUGCUCAAGGAGGAAAACUCAUCCUUGCGACAAGAGCUCUCCAAGUCGAAGCACGACACAGAUCAUGAGAAAGAGGGGCUGCUUAAGGAGCUGGAGACCGAGAAGUACAAGAUGGAGGAGCUCAAGCAGGAUAUCAGGCUCUUUCGCCAGGCCUUCUCACAGAGGCAGGGUCAUCUGACGUCCCUGUACACCAAAUCCAAGGCCAUCGUGGAGAACUGCAAGGCCUCCCGGGUGGCAUUGCCCUAA